GCGCUCUUCCUUUUCUUUUGAGAGUGGGGGUUUAACCGGGCUGGGCAGCACUUGGGAGUCUUGGACCCUACAGUACGAGGCUACUGCUGGUCACUUGCGUGGGCUUCUACUUGGGUUGUAGGACAUGAAUUACAUUUUUUUUCAGGCACUAGGUUCGGUUUUCGGACAAUGCCUUGUAUUUUCUUCAAGAGAUGGUUACUUUUGAAAAAUC
rnacentral:lncRNA from 1 species